rnacentral:rRNA from 1 species
GACGAACGCUGGCGGCGUGCUUAACACAUGCAAGUCGAGCGGUAAGGCCCUUUCGGGGGUACACGAGCGGCGAACGGGUGAGUAACACGUGGGUGACCUGCCCUCAGCUCUGGGAUAAGCCUGGGAAACUGGGUCUAAUACUGGAUAUGACUCCACGGUGCAUGUCGUGGGGUGGAAAGCCUUGUGCGGCUGAGGAUGGGCCCGCGGCCUAUCAGCUUGUUGGUGGGGUGANGGCCUACCAAGGCGACGACGGGUAGCCGGCCUGAGAGGGCGACCGGCCACACUGGGACUGAGACACGGCCCAGACUCCUGCGGGAGGCAGCAGUGGGGAAUCUUGCGCAAUGGGCGAAAGCCUGACGCAGCGACGCCGCGUGAGGGAUGACGGCCU